UCGAACGAGUUCUCGUUGAUGAUCGGUGCUUGCACCGAGAUUCAACAUGGAACGAGUGGCGGACGGGUGAGUAACACGUGGGUAACCUGCCCUUAAGUGGGGGAUAACAUUUGGAAACAGAUGCCAAUACCGCAUAGAUCCAAGAACCGCAUGGUUCUUGGCUGAAAGAUGGCGUAAGCUAUCGCUUUUGGAUGGACCCGCGGCGUAUUAGCUAGUUGGUGAGGUAAUGGCUCACCAAGGCGAUGAUACGUAGCCGAACUGAGAGGUUGAUCGGCCACAUUGGGACUGAGACACGGCCCAAACUCCUACGGGAGGCAGCAGUAGGGAAUCUUCCACAAUGGACGCAAGUCUGAUGGAGCAACGCCGCGUGAGUGAAGAAGGCUUUCGGGUCGUAAAACUCUGUUGUUGGAGAAGAAUGGUCGGCAGAGUAACUGUUGUCGGCGUGACGGUAUCCAACCAGAAAGCCACGGCUAACUACGUGCCAGCAGCCGCAGUAAUACGUAGGUGGCAAGCGUUAUCCGGAUUUAUUGGGCGUAAAGCGAGCGCAGGCGGUUUUUUAAGUCUGAUGUGAAAGCCCUCGGCUUAACCGAGGAAGCGCAUCGGAAACUGGGAAACUUGAGUGCAGAAGAGGACAGUGGAACUCCAUGUGUAGCGGUGAAAUGCGUAGAUAUAUGGAAGAACACCAGUGGCGAAGGCGGCUGUCUGGUCUGUAACUGACGCUGAGGCUCGAAAGCAUGGGUAGCGAACAGGAUUAGAUACCCUGGUAGUCCAUGCCGUAAGCGAUGAA
rnacentral:rRNA from 1 species